rnacentral:rRNA from 10 species
UGACGUUAGCGGCGGACGGGUGAGUAACACGUGGAUAACCUACCUAUAAGACUGGGAUAACUUCGGGAAACCGGAGCUAAUACCGGAUAAUAUAUUGAACCGCAUGGUUCAAUAGUGAAAGACGGUUUUGCUGUCACUUAUAGAUGGAUCCGCGCCGCAUUAGCUAGUUGGUAAGGUAACGGCUUACCAAGGCAACGAUGCGUAGCCGACCUGAGAGGGUGAUCGGCCACACUGGAACUGAGACACGGUCCAGACUCCUACGGGAGGCAGCAGUAGGGAAUCUUCCGCAAUGGGCGAAAGCCUGACGGAGCAACGCCGCGUGAGUGAUGAAGGUCUUCGGAUCGUAAAACUCUGUUAUUAGGGAAGAACAAAUGUGUAAGUAACUAUGCACGUCUUGACGGUACCUAAUCAGAAAGCCACGGCUAACUACGUGCCAGCAGCCGCGGUAAUACGUAGGUGGCAAGCGUUAUCCGGAAUUAUUGGGCGUAAAGCGCGCGUAGGCGGUUUUUUAAGUCUGAUGUGAAAGCCCACGGCUCAACCGUGGAGGGUCAUUGGAAACUGGAAAACUUGAGUGCAGAAGAGGAAAGUGGAAUUCCAUGUGUAGCGGUGAAAUGCGCAGAGAUAUGGAGGAACACCAGUGGCGAAGGCGACUUUCUGGUCUGUAACUGACGCUGAUGUGCGAAAGCGUGGGGAUCAAACAGGAUUAGAUACCCUGGUAGUCCACGCCGUAAACGAUGAGUGCUAAGUGUUAGGGGGUUUCCGCCCCUUAGUGCUGCAGCUAACGCAUUAAGCACUCCGCCUGGG